rnacentral:rRNA from 1 species
UAUCUGGAGGAACACCAGUGGCGAAGGCGGUACGCUGGGCCUGGUCUGACGCUAAGACGCGAAAGCAUGGGGAGCGAACGGGAUUAGAAACCCCGGUAGUCCAUGCCGUAAACGAUGCUAACUAGGUGUUGUGGGUAAAAGACUGGCAGUGCCGGAGUUAACGCGAUAAGUUAGCCACCUGGGGACUACGGUCGCAAGGCUAAAACUCAAAGGAAUUGACGGGGGCCCGCACAAGCAGCGGAGCGUGUGGUUUAAUUGGAGGCUACACGAAGAACCUUACGUGGGCUUGACAUGACGGUGGUAGGGAACCGAAAGGGGACCGACCUUCGGGAGCCGUCACAGGUGCUGCAUGGCUGUCGUCAGCUCGUGUCUUGAGAUGUUCGGUUAAGUCCGAUAACGAGCGCAACCCUCAUCGCUAGUUACAAGUGUCUAGCGAGACUGCCCGUUCAACGCGGGAGGAAGGCGGGGAUGACGUCAAGUCAGCAUGGCCUUUAUGUCCAGGGCUACACACACGCUACAAUGGCCGGUACAAUGGGUCGCCAACCCGCGAGGGGGAGCCAAUCCACCAAAGCCGGUCACAGUUCGAAUUGCCGGUUGCAAUCCGCGUGCAUAAAUUCGGAGUUGGUAGUAACAACAGGUCAUUUAUACUGCGGUGAAUACGUUCCCGGGCCUUGUACACACCCCCCGUCACGUCAUGGGAGCUGGUCAUGCAAGAAGUCGGCGAGCCAACCUCAAGGAGGCAGCCGCCUAAGGCAGGUCUGGUGACUGGGACGAAGUCGUAACAAGGUAACCAAGGGCGAA